GCUAGGUUUUGUUUUUUCUCUUUUGUUAGAUCGAGUAAGGCGCAGCGGUCACAUUCGGAGAGGAGAGAUGGUUAUGGAACUGAAGGUGUUGAAGCAGACCAAGCUGAAUUUCAGCAUAGUGUUGCCAAUGUUCGUGUAUUUAAACCAAAAGAGCUUAUUGUCACCACUGAUGCGUUCGAUCCAGGACGUGAUUUAGGUCAAGGAACAUUUGGACGUGUGUAUAAGGGAAUUCUCGAAGAUGGACAGGAAGUUGCCGUGAAAAGGUAUUAUCAGGAAGAUUUGUGGACGG